ACCUGGAGCCUGGCAGUUCAGGAGAGCCCACGCCUGGAGCCGGUCCCCAGGCGGGGGCAGGGCUCCCCCUGGCGGCCGCAGCUUCUCAUUCGCUUCCCCAGGGAUUUUAGGACUGCCAAACUCUUCCCUGGUUUUGAGGAGCUGGGGAUUUUCCCAUGGUGCGCUUCAACAGUCUCAGUGACCUGGUCCACGCAGAGUAAGGAGGGAAAGAGAGAAGAUGCAAUAAAAAGGGAGACCCGCUAAGCCUGGAAAGGGCAGAAAGAGCGCCACGCCACUGGAGUAGCAAUCAAGCAGCCCCUCCAGUUAGUAACCAACAGCCGGGCAGAAGGAACAGGGCUGGCUCUCUUCUAGAAUCAUGAGUACUGUGGCAAGGCAAAGUGUUGGCACAGUCCCUGUGAAACAAGGAAAGAGAUGUGGUCAGAGUAAGUGCAGGAUGCUGUCUGCACAGCAUUGCAGAGCACGCGCGGCGUUUCCAGCUGUGUCCAGCAGAGGGAAGCUUCUCCCCGUUUAAGCAGAAAGCCUCAGAUUUUCUUGGGUGUUUUGUCAGUAAUGGAAAGCAGACUAACGCAGCAAGUUAAUGAAUACAUGAGCAAGGCAGAGCCACACAGUGAGAAAUGUGGAGAACUGGCGCGAUGGCAUAUGCUGCAAUCCCAGCACUCAUGCAAGAAAUGAAUGACUGUGGCCCAUUCUCAGCUUGCGGUAUGUUUAGGGCUCAUCAGAGAAUCGCAGAUAAACAGGAGGCACUAGGCCCCUGUCUUCCCUGCAGACAGCUUGUGCCUGAUUGUCUAGAUGCUCUGAGGGUUGAGAAAAUAUAGGCAGUCUGCUAGGUGACUGAGCCACACAGAAAAGGAAGGAAUCUCAAGCCCCAGGCUAUAUACAUUACAUAGACUUUGUGUCCUAAACCAAUAGCACGGGGAGUUUGGGGAGGGGGCUAUGCCAGAAGAGCGGGAAAAUUGUAAUUCUCUGGAAUACCAGCCUAUGGGGAAAAAGAGGGCAGGAAUUUUUCACAAGAGAUUUU